rnacentral:rRNA from 1 species
AUGAGUUCUACAUCCACACCAACUGCUCUUUCCGUUGAGGUUGAGAGCAACCUACAGCUAGCACUAGUGCAUACACAUGACGAAGCUCCACAACUGGAGAGGGAGAGAGGCUCCCCGUCCCCAAUUGUAGAAGAUGAUGAAGCAGUUGAUGAAGAUGAUGAACCAAGUCCCCAAUUCGAAGCAGAUUUGGCGGCUCUGGAACGUGAUUCUGGCAAGCGACUUCCCAUAUCUUCAUAUCAUGUCAAUGGCCGGGAUGUAAUUAGAAGGAGAUACAUUGACUUGGGAGCUUGUCAACCAAAGGGUCACAAAUUUGAGAUCAGAGAUUUUAGUGAACAUCCCCGUCACUUUUGUCCUUCUUGGUUUAAGGAUUACAAGUGUGAAAGAUCGUGGAUGUCGCCUAGAGGGGGGAGGGGGUGA